GGCUGCAAUAGAGGGUAUCUUACUGCUUUGAUAGGGUCACAGAACACCACCUGGGACUUGUCUCUUCAGUUGUUGUUUCCUUAUCUGCUCUCUGGCCUUCUGCCCUCUAACACCACAAUAUGGCCCAGGAACGGACUUCAACUGGGAAACGAAGGAAGAACAAAUGACUACUGCACGAUCUGAUACUGCAUGAAUUUCUUCUUCUAAAACUGAAAGCAGUGCUCAUGAAACAUUCAUGACUGCGCUUCCAUCAUGAGACCAUCUGGUAGAGAAAAUCAAAACGGAUGUGUACUAUCCAGCACUGAAGACAUUAUUUUCAUCACUGCGCUGCUGCUGUCUCACACAGAGUAGAAUCCAGAGCUACAGCAAUAUUUCUACAUAUUGCCAGUCAGCUGUGACAGCUCAACAGUCGGGAUCUGCUCAGGGAACAUUUUGACAGUGUAUCAUCAGAACACCAGAUUUCUGUCAGUGUCAAAUGCUGAAAGUUUGCAAAAUCCUCCUAACUCCUCGGGAGAACAGCACAAAGACCAACAAACUUUUUACUGACCUGGUUGUAUCUUAGUAGAAAUAGCCUCUUAUUCUAAACGUCUUUUGACAUGAUCUCUAAAAUAUUUAGCCAUCUC